GAUGACUGUCCUGUAGGCUUCUAUGUCCACCAUCUAGAGCCCAAGCAAGCCGGAUGGGGACUCUUCACUUCUCUAGAGCUCCAGACUCUGCUUAGCCGCAGAUGAGAGGUAGCCAGACUGUGUAGAGCCAAAGGAACCUAAGAAGAUGGGGGCAAAGGUAGCAGGAAAGAACAAUGCUCUUCAAGUACCUUGACAGUGCUGAGAGCUAAGCAGUCCCGACCAUGCUCUAUGGGCCUCUUUGUACCAUGCUCUUUCUACGAGCCAUAUGAUCAAAAUAAGGAGAAGAGAGGUUCAUGAAUGUGGGCUGUAAUUAACUGCAUAGUUAAAGCAAACCCUGGAGUCCCAUCGGAUGGGGUAAAUACAUGUGACCCCCACCUUGGGUUAAGCCCUUAUGUAGUCACAGGGCCACCGUGGUGGGUGGAGACUGAUGAAUGCUUUUUGACGGUCAGAAGAGACAAGUUUUGGAAGUCGAGAAGACACAACUUAGCAGAAGCUUUUUUUGUUGUUGUUGUUAAGGAUUUACACCAUCCAGGACAGUUAAAAGCUGGACUGAAG
rnacentral:lncRNA from 1 species